CCUACGGGAGGCAGCAGUGGGGAAUAUUGCACAAUGGGGGAAACGCUGAUGCAGCGACGCCGCGUGAGUGAAGAAGUAUCUCGGUACGUUAAGCCCUAUCAGCCGGAGAGCAAAUGACGGUACCUGACUAAGAAGCACCGGCUAACUACGUGCCAGCAGCCGCGGUAAUACGUAGGGGGCAAGCGUUAUCCGGAUUUACUGGGUGUAAAGGGAGCGUAGAGGGCGCUGCAAGUCCGGAGUGAAAGCCCAUGGCGUAACCAUGGUACUGCUCUUGAAACUGUAGAGCUUGAGUGCGGGUGGGGCAGGCGGAAUUCCUAGUGUAGCGGUGAAAUGCGUAGAUAUCACGCAGAACUCCGAUUGCGAAGGCAGCAUACCGGCGCUCAACUGACGCUCAUGCACGAAAGUGUGGGUAUCGAACAGGAUUAGAUACCCCUGUAGUC
rnacentral:rRNA from 1 species